UUUUAUUGAUUCCCAUUCUGCCCUUAAAGGCAGCUCUCUCUAUCUCUUCUUCUCCUCCACAGAGAUACAGACCUCCAGAAGCGGUUCCCUACUGGAGGACCUCGCCCCACCGGAGCUUACUCCGAUCUCUUCGUUUUCAUCAUUGACGGCAAAGCCGAUAUCUGCUUCUACAGUAGCGCCUCUGAUUUGUUAUCCACAAUCAGAAGCAAGAGACCGCGAAAUGAGCCAAGACGCCAAGAGAAGCGUUCCCGGGAUUGUGCCGAAGAAGCCGAAUUUCAACGAGCGGAAACCCUCGCCGGCUGUCACCACCUCCACCGGCAAGCCCGUUUGUUGUGUUAAUCACUGGAUUUGAUUCGGAAAUAGGGUUUGGCUUAAUCUGGAGAUCGCUGCCGAUGUUAUAGAGCUGCAGUUUAUUGGUUUCGGCAGUUAACUCGUUCCUUGGCUAAUUUGUUUCUUCUCUUACGACGGCGGAGGCUCUUAAUUACAAUCAGGUACAGGUGUUUCUAAGAGAUUUUGUUCCUACUGGUUUGGCCUGCCUUUCAGAUGGCUUUGACACAUUUCCAACACUUCUUUGUGCAGAUGGUUGCAGUCUGCAGUAUGAUUGACAGGAGGAACAAUAAGAUUACAUUGGAUGGCAUAAGUUUGUAUUGUUAUAUUUUUCUUGUUUCUCUGAGCCUUGAUUUAUAUGGAAAUACUUGAAUGCCUUUCUGCUUCUUAUACAUGAUUAUCUAUGCAAUUCGUUUUGCUGCAAUUCAGGUUUUUGGUAACUUAUUGGUAUGGCACCCCUUUCACUUUUGUUAUAACAGUAUUGUCAGUAAUUUCUGAAAUUAUCAAAGUUGGACUAGUAGAUAGAGAUCUGUAACGAAAACUAGGUUAGUGUUGUGUGGUUUGUGAAAACUUGUAUAUUGAAGAUAUAUGCUUUAAUACUGAUGGAAUUUAAGGUAAUUCUGGUUUCUUCUUUCUAUGUCAUUAAAUGAUAGGUUAUCAUGUGAAGCAUAUUCUUGCAUAAAGAAGCGUUUGAUAUAUGUCACUAGGCAAAAUUUUCAUUUUCUGCUUCCUCCUAAAGGCUCUGAUUUAAUGAAUGCAUCUGGUUGCAGAUAUAAGAUAUGAGCACUUGUAGGGUGGGUUAGCUUGAUAGCUUGUUUACAUGAAAAUAAUUGAAUAUUGAUAGGUCGUUUACACGAUGAUUCAGGUUUGACUUUCUGCUUGUUGGGUGGGAACCGUGGGAUAGAGCAUUGUAUUUUUGCGUAUUUCUAUGGGAGAAUAUUAGGCUCUUGCUGUGUUUCUUUUAUCAUACUAGCGCCCUCGUCCAUGUGAAAAUUGAAAUAGUUAUGACUUAUGAGUGGAUGCUAGUCAGUAAAAUUUUUGGUUGGAAAGGAUUCUAAAAUAUUGUGGAUACUCACUACCCCUUUAAACUCUGGGUUUUGUGUUAAAUUAUUUGAAUGUUUACAAGAUAUACUAUGUUAUAAGUGUUUGAUUUUUCUGUUUCAAUAAAUCAAAUUGUUUAACUGAAAUUUUUGUUGUCCUACUGGAAUUCCUGCUUUUCAUCAGAGAAUACAAUGCAUGAGAAACAACUUCAAAACUCCGGGAAUCUGUUAGAGACAAAAGAACUGAGUUACAAUUGCUGAGGCAAAAUUUGAAGCUAACUUUCAUUCUCUAGGGGCAAAUGAUAUAUUUGGAAGACUGUUGGCUUAUGAAUUGGGAUUACUCUAAUUCCUUGUCCGGUGCCAUCGAAGCUUUGAGGGCUAGCACGCUCCGCCUUUUAGUGGUUGAUGGAGCAAGGGCAGAUGUCCACAAUGUGAAGGAUGCUAUUUCUUCCACAGUUGAUGUGAUGCAGGCAACUUGAUAUCUGAUGAGUAGAUAAGCUUUCAUUUUAACAUCUGUAAAAUUUAGUUACUGAUCAUUUUAUGGAAUUCAUGCUUUUGCAAUGGCUAAUUAUA